UCAACACGCGUUCCCAUAUUCUGUAUGAGUGUAAUUCUCCGCCGCAAUCGAGACCAUUGCUCAUGUUGUAACUCUCGUUUCCGAAAAUGUCUGAAGUCACAUUCAUGUCUGAAGAGUUCGCUAUUGCUGAAAAAUAUUUUGCCCUUCCUCGCACUUUUCGCAUGCAAGCUAGCGAAUGUAACACGCGCGUACACACGCACGUACGCAUGUAAAACGACGUUGAAAAAACGGUUCCGCUUUUCCGGCUCCUCUGGACGCUUAUUUCCAGUCUUUAAGGAACAGAGGGAUGCGUCAACUGCAUACCCUUUUCACUGAUCUCGUUGAUGGCGCGUGGUCUGUAAGUAGAAAUUGAUAAGAUUUCACUUUUUAUAUAAGCUUUUUUUUUUUCAGAAAAUUGGUGCAAAUCUGUGAAUAUAAUUAUAUGUAUGUGCAGUGGAUCACUAAAAAAAAAAAUAUUCAAAGUGAUAUUGAAAUGUUAAACGAUAUAAAGAUAUACGUUAUACUUAAAAUCUUGAUCUGAAGAUAAUCUUGCAUGAAAAAUAAAAAUAUAUUUUAUUUUAGUAUAAUUCAAGGUAAAUAUAUUUGUUAAUUCAAAGCAAUAAAUUUUUAAGUAGUUUUUUUUUCUUAAUUUUUCCUAAAAUUGUUGUCUUCCUUCUGUUGCAAGAUCCUCAAUCAUUAUAAAGUAUAAGUUAUUCAAAGUCCAAAUAAAUUUUCGUUGAAAUUAUUUAUUAUUUUAUUUACGUCGUUAUCCAAGUAGCAUUUCUGGAUAACAUAAUUAAAUUAAGAAAUUGAUAUUCAUUACCGGCCACAUGAUCCAUACCAGUAUCCAGGCUGCCGUUGCCAUCAUCGAUGCUAAUAUGCUCUGGGAUGAUCAAGCAAGCAUACUCAAGCACGCCGCAAUGUGUAGCCAAACAGAGAGAAAUCAUUUUGAGUACUUACGAUGAUUCUGUAAAAAUAAUCGAUAUACCGAUUAAAAUAAAAAUCAUAAGAAAGGCAAAAUGAGUGGACUAGAAAUAGGAUAAAGAAUAAUAUUCAAGAAAAAGAAAUCAAAAUCAUUUAAAAAUUAUAAACUAUUCCAUAUAUAAAUAAUUGCAAAUAAAAUUAACGAUCCUUCUUAAUAUAAUAAGUUGGAAAUCAGUGCAAUAGAGUUCAAAUUCAUAAAAAAAUGAAGUAAGUAUGAUUAAAAUAAAUAUUUUGCAACAAUUGCAGCCUUGCCUUUGAAACCGUUUGCCUUUGAAAUCGUCUCAUAUAUCUCUAAAACGUUUCUUAUGAAAUUCACAGUCUAAUCUUUUUUACUUUUGAUCUCAGUUUAAUCCUUUGUACAUAUUUUUUCGAGAUACAUUUUAGAAGCCAAUUGAAAGGAAAGUGUCUGUUUUAAGUGGUUCUAGAAGAAAAGAAAAAAGAACGUGGCCGAUCUUGGUGACGUUUUCCUCGGGUGUGAUUCUACGAACCACUCUUUGUACGUCUGUUGGCAGUGAGCCGAAUGAGACGCGCAACUGUCCCGAACAAUUCAACUCCUGAUCUUAACUUUGUAGAAUUCACUCCAUUAAAUUGUAAGUCUAAGUAGUUACAAAUGCAAUUUAAAGAGAUAAGCGUUCAACCUCUCACUGUACUUAGCAUUUGGAAAUUGAAAUUUUAUUGGUUGGAUGUGAAGUAAUCGUGGCACGAGCCAAGUCGAUCGAUUUUUUUUUGCACUAUUUGUUAAGAUUUUGUUGGGAAAUUGAAAUACGUAUGUGUUUGUAUUUUUCUUUUGUUUUUUUUUUCUUAAUUUCAAAAUUGAAUUUGAAAGAUACAGAUCUUCAAAAAAAUUAAUUUUGAAAUGAUCAAUCGUAGGUAAAGUAGAUAUAUUCUCUGCAAGAGAAUUUUAAUUUAAUUUUUCAAAUUGUUUUAAUAAAAUUUGCUUUUUCACACAAUUCCCGCAUAAGCUUAUCAGUUCAGUCAGACAGAGCUCUAGUUCCAAUAGUUCGAUGUAUCGGCACGAAUACUCGUAUUGGAUUGCACUCAUAUUGGAUAUUCGCAAGAUUUUUCUAUCAUUUUGUAAUUAUACAUCACAUUGUAUAAUAUUAGAGAUUCUCUGACUGCGUUACGUUGUUAACGAUGUAUAAUGCCUCGACAAGAUUGUCCAUUGUUUCUUCGAAACAAUGCCGAUCGUACAAUCUACUGGAAAUCCGUCAAAACUUCUGCAUUCAUCCAAUAUUAUACGAACACGAUAAUAUUUAUAUUUAAAAGCGCACAAUAAAAAAAUAGAGGAAAUUCUUGCGCUAAAUUUAAUGUCAUGGAUCUACCGAAUAUUAAUUUGUAAAACGAAUACAUUGUAAUUAAAAUCUGUACUUAUUAUAUAAGUUCAUAACCUAUUAAUAUAAAAUACGAAGAUACGAGAGCAGAGAAGAAAGGAGAGAAAGGAAAGAAGAAAAAUUUGUCCGCAUCUACGAAAAGGUUAAUAAUGAAAAAUAUCUCCAGUAUUAUCCUACUUACUUUUUGCUGAUGCGUGCUCCCCGGUGCUCAUUGUUGCUUAACGACAACAUGUCACAUUUCUCGUUACACCGCGGUUAAUAAAAGUCCCAUCACCAGUCACCGGCAUCUUGGCCCUCGUGAACAUGAUGACGGGCAGAGAAUUCUAUUUUUCAUCGAUCGAAUCUUGUACGGAGUUGCAUUCUUCCUCGAAGGAUAUCACACGGGAUAUAUCACAGUCGAUGGUGCAUUUCAGCCGGUGUGUUGCGGACCAAUUACUGCACAUAAAAGAAUUACUUGUAAAUAAAUGAUUAAAACUGUUAACUACGCCGGUGCUAUGAAACGGAGGUUGGGUCAAAAAUUAUCACAACAUUACAAGUGCGUCCAAAGUUACUCAAAUUUUAUUUCAAUCAUGUUUGCAUUAUCGUCAUGACGCAUUUAUUGUGUCGAAGAAAUGACCCAACCAUCUAUAACCAUCUAUUAAUCAAAUGGAUAAAACACGUAAAUACAUAUUUUCAUUUUUUAAAUUAAUAUUUAAUAAAUAUUGCUUGGUAUCUCAAGUUGCCAAACCGAUCAUUCCAUGCGUAAAUAAUCUAAUAUCUCGUUAUAUUAUGAUAAUAAUGAUUAAGUAAUAACGAUCCCUAUGUAACAUUAGUGAGGUUAACAAUCUAUUUGCUGAUUUGUCGUGGUUAUCAGCCUGCGUACAAGUUGCCAACCGUAUAUGGCGAAAACUUUGAAUUCUAAUUAGGACUCACAAGUCCCGGAGUUUCUUGGUACUGUUUCAAUAGUAAUUGAUGUAUUAGUGAGCCACAAAAGCUACAAAAGGAGAUUGGCGAGCCAGUUUGCCAAAUUGCAACCAUAUAUUUGUUAUAACUAAGAAUUUCUCUUAAUAUAUAUUUGCACAUAAGAUAAAUGAUCAAAUUUAACAAUUUCUAUAUUGUUUUCUUUUAAUCUCAAAUUAUACGUUUAUAUACAACUUUGUAUAAAUUUCGCAUUAACCAUAUUAUGUUUAAAAAAAAAUAGAAAUGAUUUUGAAAUUUGUAAAAGAAAAACUUUCAACCAAAAAAGAUUAUUGACAUGUUAUUAUCAUAUUCUUCCUAUAGAAUAAUAUUUUUGUAAACAACUGUUAUUUCAUAUUUCUAAAAAUAACAAAGAUAUUUAUGUGACCCCAUUUAAUUACUACUUUUUACAAAAUAUUUAUCUCAAACAUUGUAACAUUUUCGUUAUUCUUUUAACAUUGUUAUUUGAUUCACGAUGAUAAAUACCGUGAUUCAAGAUCAUCUUCCAUAAAAUAAUUCAAUUUUUCUUCAGUUUUAAAGCUGAUCAACGAUUUUAUAAUUAUAACAAUAUUUUUAUUAUCGUACUUUAUUAUAAAAAAUUUAGACAUAGUGGUAUAUUUUUUUUUAUAUUUUUAUUAUUUUAUUAGAAUUUAUACAAAGCGAAUAUUUUAUGUCGUCAUAAAAUAUUUUUUAUAUAAUAAUUCUUUUUUAGAGCUUUACGUAAUUAUUUUUUUUUAAAAAUUAAAAAAUCAUUAGAUUGAUUUCUGCCUAAUUCAAUUCGAAAAUAUAUCUAAUUAAAUUUCAAUCUUUUCCACUCAUUACAAUUCAAAAUUAUCUUUUCCAAGUUCUUAUAUCGGUAUUUAUCGUAUAAACUAUCGUAAGAAAGAACAUCAACCAUUCUGCGAGUAUUCUUUAUUCUAUGUAAUUAAAUCGACAUUAACGUCAUUAAACUAGCGCUGGAGGCGUAGUACGUAGUGCGUAUAAGAGUACCAAUUAAGCACGUACGUUUUGACACUUGUUAUGAAAUAUACGAGCAAAAAACAAGAUAUUAGUACUAAAAUUAAAUACAAAUCGCUAUAGUCGUUUUUUAUAAUUCGCUGUAAUUCUAUGUAUCAAGUUAAACUCGUAAUUUAUUUUAGAAAAAUCCUCUUUCAGGCAUUUACAUAUUAUAAGAGAAAAUUAUAUUUUCAUUGCUGACUUGAUGAAACUGUUCAGAACUCUACACUUUUCUUACUUUUAGUCAUAGAACAAGUUAGUAAAGUUUAUGCGGAAGUUUAUGUAGAACACUUUGUAUAGAGGUAUUGGUUAAACAGUUCGAUAUAAUAUGAUAAUGGAGAGAAAAUAGAAAAAGUACUAUAAAGAUUAACGUGAACAGCAUCGAACAUAUACAGUAAAUACUCUGUGAUUCUAGCACGCUUACUGAUCACGUGACAAUGAAAUAUUAGAUAUCUUUUUAUCUCUAUAUUUUGAAUUAUAUCGAGGAUGCUAAUAAAUGUAUCCAUUUUUGAUGCAUAAAAAUUUUUAUUAUACAAUACAAUACAAUAUAACAACAAGAUAAUUAAAAAUCACUUCGACAAAAUGAUAAUAAAAUCUCUAUUAUAACUGUGAAAAUUUCAUAAUUUGGUCGAAACAUAAGAUAUUCUUAUAAGAAAUAUGCUAUCGUAAUAUUAAUAAAUGUUUGAACUGUUGUGAUAAAUUGCUCCUGAUAAAUGAAAUAAUUUUUACUUGGAAAAGAAUAAAAAUUAUGUGACGCUCAAUUUUUUUAAUCGAUGAAGCAAGAGAUUAAUCCUUUCCUAAUCCACUCGUUACGACUCGUAUGUGUAAUACAUCAAAUUUUAUUCAUUUGUUUAUGAACUUUUUAAAUAACCCAUGAUUAAUACAUACUAGUGCCUCGUUUAGUGUCUACUUAAACAAAAAUUAAAUAAUUAUACUGAUGAAACUAUUUCAAUUCGAGGAACACGAUUUAACGCGAAUCUUUUAAUCUUGAUUGCAAAUUUUUAAACUUGAAUCACAGUUAUAAUUAAUAACUGCAUUUUUUCUCGAAAAAUUUUACAAUGUUUGAAAGAAGCUGUUCAGCAUCGAAAAAACAUUUGAUAAGAAUUAUAAUGAGAAAUAUUCGAAGUGAAUUAAUUAUUGUAGAAAGCAAUAGUUAGAAUUCGAAUAUAUAAUUAUUACAUAAAGUAACAAUUAAAUAGGUAAGUAAUUUUUUCUUAUUUAAUAAUGUAGUAAUAUGGAAAAUAUAAUAAUUAAAAUGAAUUAGAAAAAUAAUAUUUGACAUCUGAAAAUAUCGUCUUUUCCAUUUCGUUAAAGACUAAAAGGACAAAUACUAAAUCUAGAACUCGGAAAACUUCAAGAAACUCGUAGUUUGAAUUACGGAUUCUUUAAACACUUGAAUAAUUCUUUUUUUUUUUUUCUUUUAGAUUUCAAUUAUUAAAGUUUUAUGAUAUCUUAGCUGGGAUAAUAACGUUCUUCAUUACGAAUUAUUACUUUUAGUUUUAUAUUCAUUUGUUCUCAAUCUUAUCAUCAAUCUUCUCCAGCAAAAAAGAGAAUUAUAUAUGGAAAGAUCUCCUUUUAUAAUGGUUUUUAUGUAAUCAUUCUAUACAUUUUACAAUAUUUCAGAUUUUAAUGAAAAAAUUUCAACUAUAUAUAUAUAUUAUAUAUAUAAUCAUAUGAAUUUUUUUACAGCCUGAUACAUAAAGAUUUUAACAAUAUUUUUUAUCUUAUCUUAUCAUUUACUUAUGAACGAUUAAUGUAUAUAUUCUGUAACAGUUAAAUUACCAUUAUUGCAUUUUUCUUAAAAUUUGGAAAAACUAUAAACAAAUAUAAAGAGAAACCUAAAUAUUAAUUUUCCAAUUAACACGAAUCUAACACUUUCAUAUAUAGAAAUUUAUAUAUAACUAUCUAUAUGUAAAAAUAUCAUAGAUACUACAUGCAAUCUUAAAAUAAUUAUUUAAUUGCACAAAGAGAAAACUGCGUUUAAAAAAUAUGACAAGAUAAAAAUUAAGAGUAAGAAAAAUAAAAGAAGCAAAUUCAUAGGAAUUUUAGGGAUUAGAAAUAUUAAUGCUUCUAAACGAUGUUAUUGUCAUUGAUAUAUUUAAAAUGCAAGUAAACACAAGGUACAUUAAUAUUUUUUUAUUGUAUUGAUGCAUUUUUAAUUAAAAAAUUUUUAACGAGUAUACGUAUAAUUCAAGUUUCCUAUAGUUUGUAAUAGUUUGUAUUUAUGUGAAUAAUAAUUUUCACAUAAAUUACUAUUACUAUUACUAUUCAAAAGUUUGGAAUCACAUCUGUUAUUUAUGCUUUAUAAAAAAAAACAAAAUAAUACAUUUUCUAUUUUUGUUUUUGUUAAAUUUGUUACAGAUUUCUUUCACUAUAUUACUAUUCUUUUUAUUUAUAAAUAAUUAUUUAUAAAUAAGUGAUAUUAAAUUUUUGCAUAUGAUAUAUUCGUAUAUAUAUUUUUUAUUAAUCAAGGAUUUUUGAUAUCUUUUUGAUAUUUGUUCAAAAUUUAUUUGCGAAAAAAUAUAAAUUUAUUUAAAAAUAUUUGGAAUAAUUAAUUUUUAAAUAUUGAAUAAACAACAUUGAUUAUAUAAAAUUUAUAUUUAACAACGUAAAGGCGUGUAAAAAUAUUAAUUAUAAAAAUUUAUGUGAUUAUAUGAUAUGUAAGUAUAUAAUAAAAAUAAACUAAAAAAUAAAUAGAUAAUUGGUUUUAUUGAAAAUAAAUUAAUUACGUAACAUUAAAAAUAAUUCUAUUUUUAUUAUAACAAUAUACACGAUUAAUAAAUAUCAUUGCACUAAAAUAUAAAUGUUAAAAAAUAAAUUAAUUACUUACUACUAAAAAUUUAUAAUUUAUAAGAAAAAGAUAAUUACAAAACAUAAUUAAAAGUUUAUAAAUACAUAAAAUAUUAAUUCAUAAAUAUAUAAAAUAUUUUUAAUAUAAAUUAAAUUCAUAAGUUAUUGAAUUCUAUUCGUUAUAAAUAUUGAUGAUUAUAUUCAUUAAUAAAUGUAAUAAUAAAUUUCUAUAAAUGAAAUAAAAAAUUUAGAAAACAUGUCGAUAUAUAUAAAAAUUUGAUUUAAAGCGUACAGCUGUGAUGGAUGGAUCUAGAAAACAAUAUAAGAAUAACAAAAAAAAGAUAGUAAAAAGAUAAUAUUAAUAUGUGCGUUACAAAAAAAUCUUUUAAUAUCUUUAAAAAGAAAUAGAAAAUAAUAUAAAUAAAAUUUAUAAUAAAGAUGACAUGGUAAAUAAAAAAAUUGCAUAUUAUUCGAUAUAGAUAUGUAAUAUAUAUAUUUUAUUUAAAAAAAAUUAAUAUGAACUGGAAAUACACAACUUAUAAAUAUAUGCGAAGUUAAAUGUUAAUUGAAAUAUAUAAUAAAAUAUAAAAAUAUGUCAAUUGAAUCAAUAAAUAGAUAUAAUUUAUUUAUUAAUAUAAAUUUUAAGAAAGUAAUAUCGUUGUAAUUGAAAAGUUGAACAAGAAGAUAAUUUAAGAAAAAUAUUAUGAAAUAUUAUUAAGAAUAAUACCAAUAGAGAAAGUGGCGCCAUCAACGAUACUAAUGGUGAUGAAAAUAUCAACAACAAAAAUAUUAACCCCUAAUGAUUACUAUGUCAAACUUAAUAAAAACAUUAAUUUAACUAAUAUUAAAAUAAAUAAAAAGGCUUAAAUAUUUUAACCUUACAUUUACCAUUCAACGAAUUACACCAUAAACUAUAUAAAUAUUAACAACACCAUCAAAAUAUAGUCAUUACAACAAUUUGUCGAACACUUUUUACCUUCUUUAGCGUGUUCACACAUAACAGUUAGCCACUUGGACAAAAUUCAUUAACUCCUUAAUUAUAGAAUACACCUUUGAUUUUGUUCUUUUUUUCUGUUCAUCAUGUUAUGUUUUAUUUAACAUUUAAAAGUUUUUUAUCAAUUAAUCAACGGAACAAAAAGUAUUAAAAUGUAGAAUAUCCACUGGUUUCGAUGUUAGAAUUUUGAUGAAGAACCGUUAGGCGUGGUAAGAAGCCCGACACAGGUUGGAAAAAAACAUAACUUAAUUUGAGUGGUGGAAAUAAAAAAGAGGAAUUGGCGAAUUUUUAAUUGUGUCUUGAAGAGCUAGGACAUACCAAAAACAAUUUAUUAGAAAAUGAAAUUGAAUUUGACAAGAAAUAAAAAAAACGGUGAAAUAUAAAAAAAAUUUAAUAUCUCGAUCGAUAAAAACUGAACGAAUUGUUUAUCGACUGAGAACGACCACUUUUUAAGAAAAACAUCGCAACAAAAGCUCAAGCAAUCGUGCAAUAUUUAUAAAAAUCAAAAGAAGGAACAAUUAUGAUAUAAUGAGAAUUCGUCGAUAUAGGUUACAUCGUGUCAACUAAAUGGAAAACACCGAAAAAAAAUUUCACUGACACAAUAAACUCGAGGGCGAGACCGAAAAUCCACAAAACGAUUGCGUUUCCUUACGUCGAAUUCACACAUAAUUUAAAUCACUGAUAUCCAGCAUCGGUGUAGAAAGGCGGGACGAUCUGUACGAAAAAUCUCGCGUGCAUCGAUACACAAAACUAUAUUUCGGACUGAUUAUUGAGAGCACCAAAGGAUCCGAUGAUAUUUAGCAAGUACCACCACCCUUUUUUUCCACCGAUCAUCAACGGCACAUUCUCUUCGUUAUUUUGAUUCACUCGAGCCCGAACCUAAACCCGAGGGAGAUAGACAACACAACAAGCAGGCACACAGAUCAAGAGAGGACAGACCGCGUGUAUGUUAUAUAAUGUACCCGCGUACGUGUAGAUGCGUGAGAAAGAGUAAGUGAGCGAAUAAGUGAGAAAGAGAGAGAUAGAGAAAGAGAGCGAGAGAGAGCGCGCGCGAGAGAGAGAAAGCCAGAGCAAGAGAGAAAGAUAGAGAGUGGGGAGGAAAAAGAGAGAAAGACAGAAUGAGCAACCAAGUGGGGGUAACGGAGAAAGAGAGAGAGAGAGAGAGAGAGAGAGAGAGAGAGAGAGAGAGAGAGAGAGAGAGAGAGAGAGAGAGAGAGAGAGAGAGAGAGAGAGAGAAUAAGUGAGGCGGAGAGAGAAAGAAAGAGAGAGAUAGAGAGCUAGAGAGAGAGAGAGGAGUAGAGUGAGGGAGAGAGGAGGACGCAAAGACGACGAUGAUUGCACGAGGGAUGCGUCCGCGACGGAAGUACGAGGCACACUAAGGGCGUGGGCAAUCGGAGCAAGGUCGGUAUGGAGUUCUGAGGGGAGGACCCACAUUGAUUUUGAUUUUCGAAGCGCGCGCAUGAGUCUCCGUGUUCAGCUUUGUCCAUUCAUACGUAUGGGACAUUGGUCCUUAAAUACUUUGAAAUAGAUAUUGUACUUCACUAUUGAAACCGUGAAUGAUGAUAAGAAGUACGAAAGCGUUAUUCAGCACUCAAAGAAUACUUAUAAUAAGAGAUAUUAUGAAGCACACAAGGAAUACCACGAGAACAAUCGCAAGAAUUACUAAGAUGAAUUAUUGUGUUGAAACUUUAUAAAACAGUAAUCAAGAACAGAAGGAAUGGAUACUUUGAAAAAGAAUGUCUGAACUGCGCAAGACAGUCAUCGUUACGUGUAAAUUAAUUAUACAAAACGAAACGUGUUUCUUAAUUUCGUAGUUAAUAAAAUAAUACGAUUUUUUUUAAUAAACAAUAAUUUUUUAUAAAUCACUAUUUUUUCCAA